GACGAACGCUGGCGGCGUGCUUAACACAUGCAAGUCGAACGAAGAGCGAUGGAAGCUUGCUUCUAUCAAUCUUAGUGGCGAACGGGUGAGUAACGCGUAAUCAACCUGCCCUUCAGAGGGGGACAACAGUUGGAAACGACUGCUAAUACCGCAUACGAUCUAAUCUCGGCAUCGAGGAUAGAUGAAAGGUGGCCUCUACAUGUAAGCUAUCACUGAAGGAGGGGAUUGCGUCUGAUUAGCUAGUUGGAGGGGUAACGGCCCACCAAGGCGAGGAUCAGUAGCCGGUCUGAGAGGAUGAACGGCCACAUUGGGACUGAGACACGGCCCAGACUCCUACGGGAGGCAGCAGUGGGGAAUCUUCCGCAAUGGACGAAAGUCUGACGGAGCAACGCCGCGUGAGUGAUGACGGCCUUCGGGUUGUAAAGCUCUGUUAAUCGGGACGAAAGGCCUUCUUGCGAAUAGGGAGAAGGAUUGACGGUACCGGAAUAGAAAGCCACGGCUAACUACGUG
rnacentral:rRNA from 1 species